UACGGGGGGGAGCAAGCGUUGUUCGGAUUUACUGGGCGUAAAGGGCGCGUAGGCGGCCACCGCAAGUCGACUGUGAAAUCUCCGGGCUUAACCCGGAAAGGUCAGCCGAUACUGCGGGGCUAGAGUGCAGAAGGGGCAACUGGAAUUCUCGGUGUAGCGGUGAAAUGCGUAGAUAUCAAGAGGAACACCUGAGGUGAAGACGGGUUGCUGGGCUGAUACUGACGCUGAGGCGCGAAAAGCUAGGGUAGCAAACAGG
rnacentral:rRNA from 1 species